rnacentral:sRNA from 12 species
AAACGUUGAAGCAGGAGGGUGUGCCGGUAGCAUUGUCCUGUGGAGUUUGCAGAAGGGUUGUGCAAUAAAACCUCAAACCGGUGUAGGCUUUUAGCUGAAAGAAAAUGCUCCAA